rnacentral:misc_RNA from 1 species
UGAGAAAGGCACCAAGAACGG